GAUAAACGCUGGCGGCGUGCCUAACACAUGCAAGUCGAACGUCCUUCUUCGCAAGAAGAAGGGAGUGGCGGACGGGUGAGGAACACGUGGGUGACCUGCCUUUCAGUGAGGAAUACCGGCGAGAAAUCGCCGACAAGACCGCAUACGCUUCUCCCUUCACUUGGAGAAGGAAAGUCGCAAGACGCUGGAAGAGGGGCCCGCGGCCGAUUAGCUAGCUGGUGGGGUAAUGGCCUACCAGGGCGACGAUCGGUAGCUGGUCUGAGAGGACGAUCAGCCA
rnacentral:rRNA from 1 species